CACGGUUGCAAGAGACUUUUUCCCGCAGGAGAUGCGCUGGCUGCGCAGAAAACAGCUGGAGCGGAGCAGUGGAGGAAUGUGCGGACUCCGGAACCGCCUCUGUGCAACGCGUUCUCUGAAGAUGAGUCCCUGGCAGGAACAAUGAAUGUACUGUCUGCUCCCCAACUGGAGAGACCAAGCCGCCUCAAGGACCACUGUGACUAUCUACUUGACUCUAUUGAUGCCCAGCUCAGCCAGCUACAGGUCGAGAGAUGGAAGUCAAAAAUCCUGGAUAAUAGCAAUGAUGAGGGAACUUCUCUUGGUGGGGCUGUUGGCGUUUCUUCUUCAGCAGGUUUGGGAAGACAUGCUGAGGACAGGGAUGACCGUGCCUCCUUGCAGUAUGACUGGUCCUCUUGGGAGGGAGAAAGUACUCGGUGGCUGCCGGACACAGGGGCCGACACAGGGGAACGUAGCCAAUCAGAGUCUGUCUGCACAGAAGACUUUGCGGCCAAGUUUAANGAAGGCCUCGUGGACCCGUUGAGCUCUGAGGAAGAAGGCAGCAUCAUCUACGGCAGCGUCGAGCCUCCAAAGGGUCAGGCCAAGAAUGACUCUGCGUUGCUUGGAACUGGCUCGGUGGGUUCAGUAGGCAAGGAAGCUCUAGCCCGGUUGCUGUUGGAGGANUCUAAGCAGAGACGUGACCCAGCUUUGUCUCACAGGUCAAGAGAGUCUCCGUCCCUCGGUAUCCAGCACCGAAUGAGGAAUCCCGAGUCUUUAAGAGACAAUGUUUUGGGACAGCUUAACCAGAGGUGCAGCAUCUGGUCCAGCCCCACAGAUGCCCCAAGAGAAAGGUUUCUUCAGCACGGCUCCCUGAAUUUUGGGGAGACACCUGUGGGUUUGGAAAUGGGUAGCUCCCGGACAAAUCUCUUCCUGGAGCCUCAGCAGGGAAGAAACUGUCUGGAGGACUCCUCUGAAAUGACCCAGGGUCCUCGUAAAAACUGCAGCAAGCCACUGCUCCUUCAAGACUUGGGGCCUUCAAAGCCAUUCCCUGAUGCUGACGAUGUCUCCACCAGCACGGGGGCCACCAGUGGUGAAACCUGGCCCAAGACACUGGGACCCAGGCAUCCUAAGGAUGGUUCAUGUCUUUGCUCCCUCGGGACAUCCCAGAAAAGCUGUUUGGGGCCCUCUGAUACAGAGAGAAGGGAUAAGUUGAUCACAUGUGGGCGCUUUUAUCCUCUGGUCACCAGGGGCACUGGCCAAAUGGAAGCACCGUCUCACUCAGAGCUUGGAAGGAACAUUGAUUCACUUGGCACCCCCAGGGAUGCCCCUGCCGCCAUGAUCCCCAAGAAGGUCCACUUGCCACCACAAAGGGACGCUGUGAGCAGUGAAGAGGAGGAGGAGGAAGAGGGGGCAGCAUUUGCUGAGCAGGGCUUCACCAGUGACUGCACCCAGAGAACCAGCGAUCUCAAGCAACUGACUGCAAGCAGGACAGCAUAUCCCAGCUGGAAAGGAACUGAACUGGAGAAUUACAAAAGUCAGGAGGACUUGGAACUGGAAGAGGAAAAGUUGCUGCAGAAGAAGGCCCUAAUCCAUGAAGAAGAGCUGUCCCUGCAGCGCAUGCUACGACAGAAAGAGUUUGUGGCUCUGGAACUGCAGACCUUCCAGGAGGCCCUGGAGAAGAGCCAGAAUGAAGCAAGGAGGCUACAGCUGCACGUGGAAGAGAGCCAGAGAAAAGUGGAUGAGGCCAGGGUGAACCAGGCGCUGCUGGAAUUCAAGCGAGAAGCCUCUCUUAGGGAGCUGCUGGAGCUGGAGAAGGACCUGAAUUUGCGGAGAAGACAGUGUGGUCAAUAUGUCGCCUCCCAGGCAGAGGUUUCUCAGCUGGUGAAAGAACGGGAGCAGCUGAGGAACCAAGUGCGACANCUUGAGGACACCCUAUCUUCCCUGCAGCACCAGACGAGGGCCUCUGAAAUGGACGCAGUCCCUCAGAAGGAGACAAUUGGUGUUGGGACUGAGGACUGGCAGGAGGUUGUCCAAAGCGCCCAGAAGCUGGACAAGCGGAUCCAAGGCUUGGAGCUGAGAAUCUCAACCCUCCAGAUGGUUCUNUCACAGAAGAAUGCGGAGGUGUCAAGACUUCAUGAGUCCAUCUCUGCCUUGGAGGCUGAAAAAGCAUCCUGGAAGUCCAUGGUGGAGAACCUGAGAAAGGAUCAUGAAGACCAGCUGGAGAAACUACGGGAUGAGGCCUUACAGGAGAAGGUGAAAGAGCUAACACAGCUGCGGGAAGAACUGCGGUGUGAAAAGCAGGAAGCACUACAAGAGAUUCAGACCUUGAUGCUUGAGGAGCAGAAGAAAUGGGAAGCUGAUGCCAGAGAUGCUCUCCAGAUGCAGCGGGAAGUCUUGGAGGAGCAAAAGCGGAUGGAUCUCCAGAAAGCCCUGGAGAAAGAACGGAAGGUCAGCCUUGAGUUGCUGGCUGAAAACGCCAACCUCUGCAAGAGGAUCCAGGAGCUGGAGANCAAGGCCGAGUCGUUUCAGGGUGAGAAGGUGGCAGCUAUGGAAGAACUCUGGGUUCAGCUGGAGAAAGAAAAGGCUGAAGCCCUGAGGAAGUUGCAGGAUGAACUGGAGAAGGAAUCUCAGCAGAACAUUGACUGGGCACAACAGUCCCUGGCCAAGGAGGUCAUCAUGGCUUGCCAGCAACUCCAGGACCUCCUGCCCAAGAAGGCUGGCGUGCCCACCCNUGUCUGGCUGCACAGGAACCCGGAAAUCCCAUCCACCGCUCAUGUGCUCCAAGCCUUGCAAAACGUGAGCAAGGAAAUUCGGUGCUACCUCCAGGCGUUAAAGCAGGAGACAGAACAGCAGAGGCAGAACGUCCUUCAGCUCCAGAAGGAAAAGGAGAGAGAACUGAUGGAGCAGCAAGAAGAGCUUCGCUUGGAGAACCAGGUGGCUCUUGAGGCUCUGAAGGAGCAUCUUGUACAGGAGCACAUGAAGGAUAUUGUCAACCUGCAGCGCACCUGGGUGAAAGAAACCAAAGUCUUGCACCCACGCCUUCAGGACCAGGGUGCUGCGUUGCAGCCGUUGCAAAGAAGCNUCCCCCGCCGGAGAGAAAAGGCAGCCUGCCAGCCGGCUGAAGAAUUUAAGGAGGAUUUGAAUGUGGAACUGGAGAAGUGCUUGUCCAGAAACAAACCUAUGGACAUCCCCAUGAACUUCAACAUCCCAGAAGCAGAAAUCAGACGGUUCUCCACGGGCCGGAGUGAAUAUCUCCUACCUUGCUCUACCCACUCUUCACCGAAUGCCACCAGUUUCUCCAGCCCCUCAAAGCUGCUGUCCAGCCUACAGAACCGAAUCCGAGCGGUGCGGACGGAGAAUGCCAAGUUCUGCAGGACCAACCUAGAUAGUGGCAUCACCCCACGAGAGGAUUUGGCCGACAGGUGCACAAGUAAAAGGUACUUGAGUUCAGAGCUCUCCUCGUCUCAGCCCACAGGGGAAGCAGCUGGGUGUAGAACUGCCAGGAAGGAGAAGCCACAGUGAGNAAGAAGGAGAACCUUCACCCAGGAAUGGUGCUAUGAGCAGGCUACAAUCCCAGGGAAAGGAUUACCGCACCUUGAAGAACACAGAUUUCGGUCACCUUGUUUUGUCCAUGUUUUUCCUCAGCACCUACGCGGAGAGUACGGCAUGGAUCCUAAAUGCCUUUUUCAGCUCGGUGCUCUUAACAGACCUUGAAACUUCUGGGCUGAGGUUCUCGUUGCUUCACUGUUUGUCUUUUUAAGCAACUAAAUGGUGUGGAAGCUCUUCAGCUUCCACACCUACCAAGGCCACUGUCAGUAUCACCCGUUAAGCCUCACAGCUCUGCAAAUGACCCACUCCUGGUUGACUGCAUGGGCCCCUCUAUGCAGUUUUCUUGGCAGAGAUAUAGAAGUGGUUUGCCAUUACCUAUUUCCAGGGAGAGACUAGUCCAGCAUUCUGUUUCACACGGUGGCCCAUCAAUUGCUUCUGGGCAUCUCAAGCAGAAUAAAAAGGCAAACCCUUCACCUGCA
ensembl:lncRNA